UACGAAGGGGGCUAGCGUUGUUCGGAAUUACUGGGCGUAAAGGGCGCGUAGGCGGCGCAACAAGUCACUUGUGAAAUCUCCGGGCUUAACCCGGAGCGGCCAAGUGAUACUGUCGUGCUAGAGUGCGGAAGGGGCUACUGGAAUUCUCGGUGUAGCGGUGAAAUGCGUAGAUAUCGAGAGGAACACCUGCGGCGAAGGCGGGUAGCUGGGCCGACACUGACGCUGAGGCACGAAAGCUAGGGGAGCAAACAGG
rnacentral:rRNA from 1 species